GUGUACCAUAGACCGGGUGGGGGUCCGACAGGGUUCCUGGAGGAAUUUCGGGACCAUUGCGGAUCCUGCGUUGAGUGAUCUAGUCGAAGAUCGGACGCAAAGUGGCACGGUGCUUGCUCGAUCCCUUCGGGCCGACUUGAAGCGAUCGAUCUACCAGUUCACGUCGCUGUACGCUACCACACGACCGACACCUCAGCCUUCGAUUCGUAAAAAUCGUCCGACGACGGAAUAACUGAUUAACCAGAAGAACCAUCAACGACCGCUGACAAUUGUCCCUUCGCCGCGAACAUCUCGCGAAAAUGCCGCAGCCGGCUCACGAGACGAGGAACAUCCUCACCACGUACUUCAUCCUCAUCCUUCUACUGAUCAGUCUCUGGCUAUUGUACGCGGGGCUGUUUUAACUUCAGAGUACAUUCCUUUACGAUGGAGUGAAGCGACACGAGGGAAGCACGCGAAACAUCCAGUCAUCCCUUGGGCACGCCUUGGCCGGCCCUUCCUCCUCAUGUUUGAAUCUGUCCGCGUCAAUUCCACAUUUUUCUAUUAAAACGUCUGCAAAAUGAA